GCCUGGAUGGAUUUUGAACUUGCAUCUUUGGGACACUGAACGGAACGAGUUUGUCUUCAGUUGUUUUGUUGAUUCUUAAGGUGCUUUGGUACAGCCUAAGGCUUCUUACCAGUGACGGCCUUCUUGGCUGCCGAUGGCUUCUUUCCUGCUGUCUUCUUGGGAGCAAACAGAAAUUCCCUGCAACUACAUUUGAGAUCCCAACAUCUACGAAUUU